UCAGGAUGAACGCUGGCGGCGUGCUAACACAUACAAGUCGAACGAAGCAUUCCAACUCUCGGAGGAAGAAAUGACUGAGUGGCGGACGGGUGAGUAACGCGUGGGUAACCUGCCUUAUACAGGGGGAUAACAGUUAGAAAUGACUGCUAAUACCGCAUAACCCGCUAGUACCGCAUGGUACAGACGGAAAAGAUUUAUCGGUAUAAGAUGGACCCGCGUCUGAUUAGCUAGUUGGUGAGGUAAUGGCUCACCAAGGCGACGAUCAGUAGCCGGCUUGAGAGAGUGAACGGCCACAUUGGGACUGAGACACGGCCCAAACUCCUACGGGAGGCAGCAGUGGGGAAUAUUGCACAAUGGGGGAAACCCUGAAUGCAGCAACGCCGCGUGAAGGAAGAAGUAUUUCGGUAUGUAAACCUCUAUCAGCAGGAAAGAAAAUGACGGUACCUGACUAAGAAGCCCCGGCUAACUACGUGCCAGCCGCCGC
rnacentral:rRNA from 1 species